rnacentral:misc_RNA from 1 species
AGAAAAUGGUAAUCAAGUUCAAAGCAGACAAGCUUGGAACAGAGCUUUCCAGGCGUGGUCCAAGAGCCACUGAAACCAAGCCCAAACCGGAAAGGCUGGAAUCAGCUCAUGGAAAGGAAAAACAUUCUGGUGUUUCAGUUGGCAAAAAGCGGCAAAGAAAAUCAAGAGCCGAUGAUUUGGAUGGAAUCAAGAAAGUCAAGGCCAUUGAGGAUCUUCGUGAACAAACAAUCCUUAGGGGCAUUUCAUCAAGCGGGUCAAAGCCAGAAAUAAUAGAUAGGCUUUGUGCUGCUGAGUCAGAAAUGGAGUCAAAGGACCUUGCAGAUUCACAUGAAGUUAAAGAAGAAAAUGAAGGAAAAGAAACAAGCGAAGAAGAAAAGCAACCCACCAAUAAGAAGGGCAGUGCAGUCCCGGACCAGUAUCUGCCAGAUCAUAUAAAG